rnacentral:misc_RNA from 1 species
GAUGAAGAACGUAGUAAAAUGCGAUACUUGGUGUGAAUUGCAGAAUCCCGCGAAUCAUCGAGUUUUUGAACGCAAGUUGCGCCCGAAGCCAUUCGGCCGGGGGCACGUCUGCCUGGGUGUCACGCAUCGUUGCCCCCCCAAACUCCGGUUCGGGCGGGGCGGAAGUUGGCCUCCCGUGCGUGCCUGCGCGCGCGGUUAGCCCAAAAGCGAGUCCUCGGCGAUGAGCGCCACGACAAUCGGUGGUUUUUUUACCCUCGUUCCUCGUCGUGCGUGCCCCGUCGCCCGAACGCGCUCUUGCAACCCUUACGCGUCGCCUCGGUGGCGCUCCCAACGCGACCCCAGGUCAGGCGGGACUACCCGCUGAGUUUAAGCAUAUCAAUAAGCGGAGGA